ACUGAACGCUGGCGGCAGGCCUAACACAUGCAAGUCGAGCGGAUGAAGGGAGCUUGCUCCUGGAUUCAGCGGCGGACGGGUGAGUAAUGCCUAGGAAUCUGCCUGGUAGUGGGGGAUAACGUCCGGAAACGGGCGCUAAUACCGCAUACGUCCUGAGGGAGAGAGUGGGGGAUCUUCGGACCUCACGCUAUCAGAUGAGCCUAGGUCGGAUUAGCUAGUUGGUGGGGUAAAGGCCUACCAAGGCGACGAUCCGUAACUGGUCUGAGAGGAUGAUCAGUCACACUGGAACUGAGACACGGUCCAGACUCCUACGGGAGGCAGCAGUGGGGAAUAUUGGACAAUGGGCGAAAGCCUGAUCCAGCCAUGCCGCGUGUGUGAAGAAGGUCUUCGGAUUGUAAAGCACUUUAAGUUGGGAGGAAGGGCAGUAAGUUAAUACCUUGCUGUUUUGACGUUACCAACAGAAUAAGCACCGGCUAACUUCGUG
rnacentral:rRNA from 1 species